rnacentral:lncRNA from 1 species
UUAUAUAUGUAUCUCUUCAUCUUUAUGUUUAUCUCUCUCUCUCUAUAUAUAUAUACAUUUCCUAGUAGAUUGAGGAAGAUGAUGAAGCAGAAAUAUGAGGAAGAGAUCCAGAUGCUCCAGCAGGAUAUUAAAAUGCUGGAGUCUGAACAGGAGGAGACUUUAAGAAAGUCAGUCUGUAAGGAAAGAGGAGGAGCACAAAAACACUCUUGCAAAGCUGCUCUCAAAAGUCAGAGAGCCGGAAAGAAAAACCUCAGACAACAGACAGAAAUGAAUGGGAUCGCAGCUGGUUGCAGCAAACCCGUUAAUUUAAAAAAACCAUUAGUAAUAAUCUAUUUUAUACGUUUUGGGUUUUUCUUAGAAAUAGUUCACCAAAAAUAAAAAAAGUUGCUUAAAAUGUACUCACCUUCAGGCCAUCAAAGAUGUAGAUGAGUUUGUUUCUGGAAGCAGAUUUGGAGAAAUGUAACACUUGCUCACCAAUGGAUCCAUUGCAGUGAAUGGGUGCCGUCAGAAGCAUCAGCUGAUAAAACAUCACAAUGAUCCACAAGUAAUCCACAAUACUGCACUUCCUUAAUUUUGAAGCAAAAAGCUGUUUGUAAUAAACAAAUCCAUCAUUAAGACCGCUAUUGCUAAACACUAGUUCUCUGUCCUUAAUAUUGCUUUCUCCAGUGAAAAAGUUCUCUGUUGAAUUGGGAGAGAAAUGCAUAUGGAGGAUUCACAGGAGGAAGUGUUAUGGAUUAUGGAGUUCUUGGCCAAAAGCAAUGGUUUGAAUUUAAAAUGCCUUAAUGAUGGAUUUGUUUUUUACAAACGUAGUCAGGGUUUGAUGCAAACAGGACAUGGCCUUAAAGCACCACUAUGUAAUUUUUUCUGUCUUCUAAAUUUGCUAAAUAUAAUGAGCGAGUGCAUCAUAAA